rnacentral:rRNA from 1 species
GGAAAGGCGCGCGAUACAGGGUGACAGCCCCGUACACAAAAAUGCACAUGCUGUGAGCUCGAUGAGUAGGGCGGGACACGUGGUAUCCUGUCUGAAUAUGGGGGGACCAUCCUCCAAGGCUAAAUACUCCUGACUGACCGAUAGUGAACCAGUACCGUGAGGGAAAGGCGAAAAGAACCCCGGCGAGGGGAGUGAAAAAGAACCUGAAACCGUGUACGUACAAGCAGUGGGAGCACGCUUAGGCGUGUGACUGCGUACCUUUUGUAUAAUGGGUCAGCGACUUAUAUUCUGUAGCAAGGUUAACCGAAUAGGGGAGCCGAAGGGAAACCGAGUCUUAACUGGGCGUUAAGUUGCAGGGUAUAGACCCGAAACCCGGUGAUCUAGCCAUGGGCAGGUUGAAGGUUGGGUAACACUAACUGGAGGACCGAACCGACUAAUGUUGAAAAAUUAGCGGAUGACUUGUGGCUGGGGGUGAAAGGCCAAUCAAACCGGGAGAUAGCUGGUUCUCCCCGAAAGCUAUUUAGGUAGCGCCUCGUGAAUUCAUCUCCGGGGGUAGAGCACUGUUUCGGCAAGGGGGUCAUCCCGACUUACCAACCCGAUGCAAACUGCGAAUACCGGAGAAUGUUAUCACGGGAGACACACGGCGGGUGCUAACGUCCGUCGUGAAGAGGGAAACAACCCAGACCGCCAGCUAAGGUCCCAAAGUCAUGGUUAAGUGGGAAACGAUGUGGGAAGGCCCAGACAGCCAGGAUGUUGGCUUAGAAGCAGCCAUCAUUUAAAGAAAGCGUAAUAGCUCACUGGUCGAGUCGGCCUGCGCGGAAGAUGUAACGGGGCUAAACCAUGCACCGAAGCUGCGGCAGCGACGCUGAUGCGUUGUUGGGUAGGGGAGCGUUCUGUAAGCCUGCGAAGGUGUGCUGUGAGGCAUGCUGGAGGUAUCAGAAGUGCGAAUGCUGACAUAAGUAACGAUAAAGCGGGUGAAAAGCCCGCUCGCCGGAAGACCAAGGGUUCCUGUCCAACGUUA